rnacentral:sRNA from 1 species
UUUUAUAUGAUUUACUGAUAAACUACUUUGUUGUAGGAAAGCCAGAAAGUUCUCGUUGCACGUAGCAAUAAAGACGGUCCAGGGCUCGCUCCUUGGGCUGUUUUAUUUUGACUGCUCCGAUGGAUUUGAAGGCGCACCACAUAUCUUUUUUCAUACCUUACGGAGGUAAAUUUCAUGUCUGAAAGAAUUAUCGGCACAGUCAAAUGGUUCAACGGGAGCAAGGGCUACGGUUUCUUGUCCCAGCCUGAUGGCGCGGACGUCUUCGUCCACUACUCUUCGAUCCAAUCUGACGGUUACCGCACUCUCCAGGAAGGCCAGAAGGUGGAGUUCUCCAUCGAGAAAGGCCCCAAGGGACUGCAGGCUGCCAACGUCAUCCCUAUGUAAUUUUAGAACCAAAACUAUGUCACCAGAGACCUGCCGUAAACCGGCAGGUCUUUGAUU